rnacentral:rRNA from 1 species
GACGAACGCUGGCGGCGUGCUUAACACAUGCAAGUCGAGCGGUAAGGCCCUUUCGGGGUACGACGAGCGGCGAACGGGUGAGUAACACGUGGGUGGACCUCGCCCUCCAGCUCUGGGAGUAAGACCUCGGGAAACGUAGGGUCGUAAUAACUGGAGUAUGACUCCACGGUGCAUGUCGUGGGGUGGAAAGACCUUGUGCGGCUGAGGAGUGGGCCCGGCCGGCCUAUCAGCUUGUUGGUGGGGU